rnacentral:rRNA from 1 species
UGAGCAAUCUGCCCUUCACGUCGGAAUAACCAUUGGAAACGAUGGCUAAUGCCGAAUAUGACUUCGGAUCGCAUGAUCUGAAGUGGAAAGCUCCGGCGGUGAAGGAUGAGCUCGCGGCCUAUCAGCUAGUUGGUGUGGGUAAUGGCCCACCAAGGCGACGACGGGUAGCCGGCCUGAGAGGGUGACCGGCCACACGUGGGACUGAGACACGGCCCAGAUCCCGUACGGGG